UACCUAACCAGUUCUCUGGUAUGCC
rnacentral:miRNA from 1 species